AUUGAACGCUGGCGGCAGGCCUAACACAUGCAAGUCGAACGAGUGGCGGACGGGUGAGUAAUGUCUGGGAAACUGCCCGAUGGAGGGGGAUAACUACUGGAAACGGUAGCUAAUACCGCAUACCAUCGGAUGUACCCAGAUGGGAUUAGCUAGUAGGUGGGGUAAUGGCUCACCUAGGCGACGAUCCCUAGCUGGUCUGAGAGGAUGACCAGCCACACUGGAACUGAGACACGGCCCAGACUCCUACGGGAGGCAGCAGUGGGGAAUAUUGCACAAUGGGCGCAAGCCUGAUGCAGCCAUGCCGCGUGUAUGAAGAAGGCCUUCGGGUUGUAAAGUACUUUCAGUGAGGAGGCGUUACCCGCAGAAGAAGCACCGGCUAACUCCGUGCCAGCAGCCGCGGUAAUUC
rnacentral:rRNA from 1 species